GGGAGUUGCCACGGGAAGUGAGAGGCAAGGAGACUGACUGAAGUGAUCCUAUGCCUUCACCCAUCUACUACUCUCACUGUUUCUUCUUGUAGGCUGUAGAAGCUUUGAUGGGAUCAAUCAUCAUGCUGGUUGUCACACAAGUGGCAUCAGGGAAAAGGAAGACAGGUGCCACACAACUGUGUGAGUCUGAGAAAGAGGCAGGGUACAUAAAACGGAAUGAUCUAGGCCAGGGUCACUUAGUGUGUGUGUGUAAAAGGAGUCUCUCCCUCACAUCUCUUAAUGACUAGUUUUCAGCAAUUUCCUUUAGCAUCUCUUGCAGGGGAAAGGGACAGAGAGGAUAGUGGAACAAAAACCUAUCACUGUGGCUACCCUGCCGACAGCUUGCUAUGUCUGCUCUAAAGAGGCUGUUGAAGAGACUGCUUCUUCAAUGCGGAUGGGCACUGGAUGCUUUGCCCACCAUCCAGGGUCCUCUAUAUAAAAACUUUUUGUAGGAUUUUUUUUUUUUUUUAGUGAACAGGAAACUCUUGUCUCUUUAGUGAAUAUGGUACACUUUCUUUCAUCUGACAAUAAUAGCUAAGUAAAGAAUGUGGUUUCCUAUGUUGCCUAGGCUGCUGGGGAACUCCAAAGUACUCCACAGCUCAAUCACAGCACUUAUUCAAUCGUGGGUGUUGGCAUUUUAUGAUGACUUAUAAGUUAUUAUAAUUAAGAGUGGAAUGAUUACAUUAUGUGCGUACUUGCUUCCAUGUUAUAUUUCUGCUUUAUUAAUGCUCAUCACACUUUAAUCCCUAUGAGGUGAGGAUCUUUGUAGAUCUGCCUGUUAAUGUGGUUAUUAUUUCUCCCUCCCCAUUUCCAUGAGGGCAGGGAUGUUUUCUGAUUAAUUCUUAUCCAAUAUUGGCACUGGGUCUGGCACACAUAAAAUAAUAAAUACUUAUUGAUGAAAUGACUGCAUAAACAUUUUGGAAAUUUGUGGCAAUUAAUCUUUUUUUUUUUGCAAGGAGCAAUCAAUACACGGUUUGUUUGCAAACUGCAAGAAGAGAGGUGCCAUGACCACCUUAUUUAUUAUAGUAUUUCCAGUGCUUCACACCAAACCUGUUAUUUAAUGGGUUCUAAAUACUAGUUUUCUGAAUAAUGGAUGAAUGAAUGGAUGAAAGAUGAAUAUGUAGGUGGAGCAACAGAUGGAUAAAUAGAAGAUGAUAGCUAGGUGUGGUGGCACAUGACUGUAAUCCCAGCACAUUGGGAGGCCAAGAUAGGAGGAGCACUUGAGACCAGCCUGGGCAAGAUGGUGAGACUCCCGCCUCUACAAAAAAUAUAAAAAUUAGCCAGGCAUGGUGGUGCAUACCUACAGUCCCAGCUACUUGGAAGGCUAAGGCAAGAGAUUGCUUGGGCCCAGAAGUUCGAGGCUGCAGUGAGCUAUGACUGUGCCACUGCACUCAGCCUUGAUGACAAAGUGAGACCUCAUCUCAAAAAAAAAGAGGGGACAGAUUAAGGGAGAAGAGUUGGGAAAUGAAUUCAUACGAAAACGGUGGAUACUGACUUAAAAUUCAGGGUUUGGUGUGAUAUUUAGUUUUAAAUUCUCAUACACAACAUCCUUGUGGGUGAUUUAGACUGAGAGUCUCAGUGAAAUGAGUUUUCAGUCAGGAUGAUUAAGUUGGGCCACAGAAUCAGUUUCCCAGAGAGGUCUAAAACCUGACAGAAAAUAUGUCUUGUUUUUGUCUCUGCUAUUUGGCAGAAAAAUCCCUGAUGUUAUGAAAGUCCAGGUAUUAAAUUAAUAAAUUUUUAUUAAGAUACUGCCAUUGUCCCCAAUGAGUAUAUAAACCACAAUUUCAACAUUUAAACUAAAUCUUGAAGGUGAAAUUGCUUAUUAAGAGUAAGCUACAGGGACUAUCCAGGAGAAGAAACAAGAUAAAAAAAGAUAAGUCCUUCUGUUCUAAUAAAAACUCAACUACUUAAUUAUUGAAAAUCUUAAGAAAAAAAAAAGGUAUGAGGGCAAAAGGAAGCUGCCAAUCACAUGAGCAAGCCAACAUUGUCAGGAGCCUCUAAUAAAAUAAACAAAACAACCACAACACAAUGGUCCUGAGCUAAGACCACUGUGCACAUAUGCACAGAGCUAUUGCCAAAUCUAAGUGAGUCACAACCCAGGUACAAUCAGUGUGCUUUUAAUUAUGCAUCCUGCAUAAUUGACCUUAUGUGUCAUUACUUGAAUGGCUUUCUGGUACCAGGACAUCCAGCUUCCCUGUGAAUUCCCUCUGACCCCACCAGAAAAAUCCCAUAAUCAUCUGUCUCCCUGGCAGGACAUCAUCAAAAUUCAAACUGGGAAAGGGAAACCACUUUCAAGCCACCUGUACAGAACUCUCACUGAUCACAGAUGUUAGCAGCACUUUACAUCCAACAGCAGCCCUUGGCCGACAGCUCCCAAAUUUUGUACAGCAACUGCCAGUGUGUGCCAGCAAUGCUGUGAAAACCCUCAACCCUGUCCUGGCACAGAAAUCAGAGAGACCUUCUUAGUUAAUUGGAAUCAGCAAGGUUUCACCAUAGUUAUCUUUUACUGCACUUGACUCUGCCCAGGAUCCCAAUGACCUACAUGAAAAUUUGGAAACAAUCCCCCAUUAGCUAAAUCAGUGUACCAGCAUAAACUCAAGGCCAAGCUGAAACCAGAGUACAUUUUCACUGAAGGACUUUAUAAACACUAUAUAUCACAAAAUUGAAUCCAUAAAAAGGAAUGAAAAAAC
rnacentral:lncRNA from 10 species